GCCUUUAUGGCGUAGUGGUAGCGCGUCGCACUUGUACUGCUUCGAUUGAAGUUCCUGGUCAUGCGAAGGUCUCUCGUUCAACCCGGGAUGGAGGCA